rnacentral:rRNA from 1 species
UUAAUUCGAUGCAACGCGAAAAACCUUACCUACCCUUGACAUGGUCGGAAUCCCGCUGAGAGGUGGGAGUGCUCGAAAGAGAACCGGCGCACAGGUGCUGCAUGGCUGUCGUCAGCUCGUGUCGUGAGAUGUUGGGUUAAGUCCCGCAACGAGCGCAACCCUUGUCCUUAGUUGCUACGCAAGAGCACUCUAAGGAGACUGCCGGUGACAAACCGGAGGAAGGUGGGGAUGACGUCAAGUCCUCAUGGCCCUUAUGGGUAGGGCUUCACACGUCAUACAAUGGUCGGAACAGAGGGUUGCCAACCCGCGAGGGGGAGCUAAUCCCAGAAAACCGAUCGUAGUCCGGAUUGCACUCUGCAACUCGAGUGCAUGAAGCUGGAAUCGCUAGUAAUCGCGGAUCAGCAUGCCGCGGUGAAUACGUUCCGGGGUCUU